GACGAACCGUCCCAAACGUUAUUCGGAAUCACUGGGCUUAAAGGGCGCGUAGGCGGCCGAGCGGGUCGCGGGUGAAAUCCUCCAGCUUAACUGGAGAACUGCCCUCGAUACCACUGCGGCUCGAGGAAGGAAGGGGUCGAUGGGAACUGUCGGUGGAGCGGUGAAAUGCGUUGAUAUCAGGAGGAACUCCAAUGGCGAAGGCAGGUUACUGGGCCUUAUCUGACGCUGAGGCGCGAAAGCGUGGGUAGCAAACAGGAUU
rnacentral:rRNA from 1 species